rnacentral:rRNA from 1 species
GACGAACGCUGGCGGCGUGCUUAACACAUGCAAGUCGAACGGAAAGGCCCUGCUUGUGUGGGGUGCUCGAGUGGAAAGCGGGUGUGAAACACGGGUGAUAUGUGCUCCUGAUUGGGGUAAGCCUUCAGGAAAGUGGGGAUUAUAGGGUCUAGGCGCUCCUGCUGCUGGGUGUGGGUAGGAUAGUUUGGGGGGUUGGGGGUUGACGCGCGGCUAGUCAGCUGGUUGGUUGGGGAGGGGCUUACCAGGGCUUUGACGGGUAGCCGGCCUGAGAGGGUGACCGGCCACAUUGGGACUGAGAUACGGCCCAGACUCCUACGGGAGGCAGCAGUGGGGAAUAUUGCACAAUGGGCGGAAGCCUGAUGCAGCAACGCCGCGUGCGGGAUGACGGCCUUCGGGUUGUAAACCGCUUUCGCCUGUGACGAAGCGUGAGUGACGGUAAUGGGUAAAGAAGCACCGGCUAACUACGUG